ensembl:lncRNA
CCCAUAUGAAUAUUAAUGCUACACCUCAGCAUGCACCCUCUCAUAGUUGUCAAGGCUGUAAUUCACAACACACGUCUCACCAAGAGAUUUUCCUGCGCGGCGCUCCAAAGCCCUAACAAGCUUUGAGCAGAUGACAGAACAGUCUGGCAAGCUGGCAGUCAUGGCAGAAAUGGACAUUUCUGCAGAAAAAAAAACCCCAAAGAUUUAUACGAUGUCUUCUGGAACAGCAAUACAUUACGGAAGAUCUACAUAAUUGCACUCUACAUGAUGCCAUCUACUUUGUACAGCCCACUGUGCUGGAAUAUGUGCGCUGAUCACCUAAGCCACUGCGGGGCACAGCAGCUCAAGCACCACCUCUUUCCUCCUGGAUCACCAUCCUGACGCACAGGGUCUAAGGGCAAAGGGCACUGCAGUAAGGGAGCCCUUCCUGGCAGAAAUGCAGGAUCCAUUGCACUACAUGAGGCUACGUGAGGUCCCUCACUACCCCAGCACUUCUUCCUGCACACGUCAGCUUGGUGGGAGAGCGAGGACAGGGGAGCAAGGACAUGCAGAACUGCAAGGAGGACGCCCCAAAACUCAUGCUAGCUGCACUGCAGCCCUUUGCUGUACCCAGUAGCUCCUGCUGCUUUCUGCACAGCCAACUGGCAGCGUGCAGUGAGCACUGUGCUGUCCCGACCGGCGUUAGGUGCUAACAGGAAGCCCAGAAGGACUAGAUAAAAACCAAAAGGAAACAAACAGCACCAGAUGUAGUGCACUGCACCGAGGACCGGGCUGAAUGAGGAGCCCCCCCCAGGCGAGGGGCUGUGCUGCCUCAAAAGCAGAGCGAGGGGAGCGCUGGCUGAGUCACCACUGCUUCCUGUUCUCCCCGUUCUGCGAUGGGGCAAUGCAGGCCGGCCAGCCUGCUCCCCUCGUGGGGCACCCUGCUGCCCCGGGCUGCAGAGCAGGAAGGGAGAGCGUGGAGCAGCAGGGUGCUGCCAGGCACAGAGCGGGCAGCCGCUCCCCGAGGCUGCUGUCAGCCUGGGCGGUGUGGGUGCCCUGGGUAUCACAUGCAGUAUGUGACAUACACUG